rnacentral:lncRNA from 1 species
AGGUUUCUAACAGUUGCUGUGAUGUUAGCUCUUGUUAUUUGUGCUGCCUGCAAAAAUCACGAGGAAUGGAAAGGUCAACGACCAUGGGAUUAUGAUCGAAGGCCGCCUUCGAAUCCCUAUGCCUAGGGCAUUUAAUGCAUCUGGAAAAACACAAAGUGCUGAUCAUCAUAAAACCUAAAAACCAAACAAAAAGGUUUUAAAAAUGAAGUAAUGUGAAACUAAUAAAUACGCAAUUAACCCAUUUGCUAU